rnacentral:rRNA from 1 species
AGCGAACGCUGGCGGCAGGCUUAACACAUGCAAGUCGAGCGCCCGUAGCAAUACGGGAGCGGCAGACGGGAGAGUAACACGUGGGAACGUACCCUUUGGUUCGGAACAACACAGGGAAACUUGUGCUAAUACCGGAUAAGCCCUUACGGGGAAAGAUUUAUCGCCGAAGGAUCGGCCCGCGUCUGAUUAGCUAGUUGGUGGGGUAAUGGCCUACCAAGGCGACGAUCAGUAGCUGGCCUGAGAGGAUGAUCAGCCACACUGGGACUGAGACACGGCCCAGACUCCUACGGGAGGCAGCAGUGGGGAAUCUUGCGCAAUGGGCGAAAGCCUGACGCAGCGACGCCGCGUGCGGGAAGAAGGCCUCGGUUGUAA